rnacentral:rRNA from 1 species
GAUGAACGCUGGCGGCGUGCUUAACACAUGCAAGUCGAACGAAGCACUUUAUUUGAUUUCCUUCGGGACUGAUUAUUUUGUGACUGAGUGGCGGACGGGUGAGUAACGCGUGGGUAACCUGCCUUGUACAGGGGGAUAACAGUUGGAAACGGCUGCUAAUACCGCAUAAGCGCACGGCAUCGCAUGAUGCAGUGUGAAAAACUCCGGUGGUAUAAGAUGGACCCGCGUUGGAUUAGCUAGUUGGUGGGGUAACGGCCCACCAAGGCGACGAUCCGUAGCCGACCUGAGAGGGUGACCGGCCACAUUGGGACUGAGACACGGCCCAAACUCCUACGGGAGGCAGCAGUGGGGAAUAUUGCACAAUGGGCGAAAGCCUGAUGCAGCGACGCCGCGUGAGCGAAGAAGUAUUUCGGUAUGUAAAGCUCUAUCAGCAGGGAAGAUAAUGACGGU